GAUGAACGCUGGCGGCGUGCCUAAUACAUGCCAGUCGAGCGAACAGACGAGGAGCUUGCUCCUCUGACGUUAGCGGCGGACGGGUGAGUAACACGUGGAUAACCUACCUAUAAGACUGGGAUAACUUCGGGAAACCGGAGCUAAUACCGGAUAAUAUAUUGAACCGCAUGGUUCAAUAGUGAAAGACGGUUUUGCUGUCACUUAUAGAUGGAUCCGCGCCGCAUUAGCUAGUUGGUAAGGUAACGGCUUACCAAGGCGACGAUGCGUAGCCGACCUGAGAGGGUGAUCGGCCACACUGGAACUGAGACACGGUCCAGACUCCUACGGGAGGCAGCAGUAGGGAAUCUUCCGCAAUGGGCGAAAGCCUGACGGAGUAACGCCGCGUGAGUGAUGAAGGUCUUCGGAUCGUAAAACUCUGUUAUUAGGGAAGAACAAAUGUGUAAGUAACUAUGCACGUCUUGACGGUACCUAAUCAGAAAGCCACGGCUAACUACGUG
rnacentral:rRNA from 1 species